UGCAGCCAUUACCUGCAUUGUGGGAUGCACUAUUUGUCAACCAAUCAUUAGGCUGCUUUUGGUUGACCCAAGCGAAAAUGGCCAAAGAAGUGACAAACAGGAACCAACAUUGCCGUGAUUCUAAAGCUACAGGGGACACAAAUGAAAGUGAUAUUUGCGUCCUCUGUCUAACCAAAUUAAUUGUAGCCUACACACGUUAUGUUUUCAGUUCGUGAGUGUGUGUGAUAUAGUAUUGAGGGCUUGCAGUUGAUGUAUGACACCGCCGGGCGGCCAUGUUGGAAGACCACUUCAUUACUUCUUCUGACAACAACAGCCGAGUUUCUGCCUCAAACUGCAUGAUAGCAGUGCCUAAAACUAGUUGAUUCAUCACCAAGGUCAUUUUCUGUGGAUAUAUUUACAGAUUCCCCGCAAUCAUGAAACAACAUUGAUGACACCAAUGAAAGAAGACUCGAGAACUGUCAGAAAUCAAGUAAACCUUUUUGCCUGUCAAGACCUGAACCCAGACAGCUGUCAGUACAGGGUCUGCUAUGAUCAUUUCAUAACUGGUUCAACCAGCUGACCUCUGUCAAGACACCCACGUCGACUGGAUUCCCAACGUGAAGAUGAGCAAUGCUGCAGCAGCAUCAGUUUCUACAAUCUAGCUAUACUUUGUCCCUUUUCAGGUAUGAAAGGAGACAUUCCUUAGUCAUACGAGAUGGUUGUCAUAUGCUGUGCUUUGGUCAAUCAAUGAUUCUGUUGUGCAAUUUGAGCAGAGAACACCUUGCCGUCCUGACAAAAGUGCCCCCUUAAACCAUAUGAAUAUAUUAAAUGUAAUUUGGAACGUGUAAAAUACUUCUGUUUAUGAUAUUGUAAACAUACUGUAGAUAAUACGCUAUAAUGCUGUCUGGGUGAAAUUAAAAGUAUUGUCAUCUCU